GAACUCCAGUAUAUGAAAUAGAUACAAGAGACCCUGCCAUCAUUGAACAGGGAGUGGGGGAACAGGGCCCACUCACACUACAGUCUUUUGUCCCCUGCAGUAGCUGCAGAGGCUACAAAGAAUCCAGUUUGGAAAACCACUGGUCUAGUUUCCAUUGAGUUUGACCUUCACUCAAGAGGUAAGAUAAUCCAUGCUGGUCACACAGCUAAUUCAGUAGAACUGAACUCACCACACUCUCUCCUCUGCUGGUUCACUCCAUCAUAGCUCCUUCCAGACUGUAAGUCCUUGAGUAGAGGCUGCACUCACGUCUGCAUGCCCAGCUCAAAGCAAUGGGCAGACACAUAGUAGGUAAACUGUAUAUUUGCAACAAAGACCAUUCAAUAACUGGAAAUCCAAACUGAGAAAAAUGCAACACAAGAGGGCAGAAACAGUGCCAGUGCCUCAGAACUAAAGCCUCACAUCUGCCCUGCAGUCCUAGUGAGAUGGGCCAGGGAUGGAAUUUCAGAGGCCUCAGGAUGUUGAGCAGCUGCUGUUUGCCACACUUGACAGUAAAUGCAAACAAAACUUCUCUUUGGCUUUAGAAUGCACUCUACAACUGUUCCUGCAGCAAAUUCACUGCAGACUGGUAGUAAAAUGAGUCUGCAUUCUGGGAACAUGUUCAAAGUGGUGAGAGGAGGCAAACAGCUCCAAGACCCUGUGGCAGAAGGAAAAAAGGAGUGUGGUCCUGCGAUGGCAGAGUCUAAUGAGUAGGGCACCACAAAUGGGAGAACCUGUAAAUAUCUGACAACAGGCUGUGUCUUCAGGAGGAAAGCCAUUCUGGAAAGCCGAAGAGUGGGAGCCACACUGGUUGAAGAUGCCGGGCAUCCCAGCCUAGGAGAUAAAAAUAUAAUUAGCGUAAUCCUGAGUGCAGUGUGACAACACCUGCCUGGUACUUGCCUCUGGAAGGAAAGCUGCAGAGAGAAUAGGCACAGCAGAGUGGGGGUUACACUCCUCUAUGUCAAGUGGCCAGGCUGGAAUGCAAAGAACACAACAUUCUUCUAAGAAGGGUCCACCGACAGGCACAGCCAUGCAAGCACUGCAUAUCCCCCAGGAUUCUGGCAUGUGUUCCCAAGAACAAUGUCUGCAGUGCACUCUUGCAUUUGUCGCUGUUGGCUUUCCAUUGUAAUACAGUGCCCUGGUUUGGCUGGAAGGAAAUUUGACAACGGGAGAUUUCUUUCUGUUUUCAGGUGAGACACUGGUUUGCCCCCAGCAUCCAUGGUCUUGUGGGCCACUAUUCUUCUGUGCACGGUCUUUAUGUGUUGAGGUUGGGGGGAGUGGAGAAUAGGGAUAUAGGGAAUAGG
rnacentral:lncRNA from 1 species